GGGUCUAUGAUGACAAAACUAUGUCAUGAAGAGAGAUGGUGACCUAAAAAUCAUGCUCAAUAGAAUGACAUUGAUGCCC